rfam:Operophtera brumata OBRT01_Sc00577, whole genome shotgun sequence.
CGUUCUAUGGCCGAAUUGAUAAAGGUAUCGCCGAUCACAGGCGAGAUUGCGGGUUCAAGUCCCGCUGGAACUA